GAUAAACGCUGGCGGCGUGCUUAACACAUGCAAGUCGAACGAAGUUUUUCUUUCGGGAGGAACUUAGUGGCGGACGGGUGAGUAACGCGUGGGUAACCUGCCCUGUACAGGGGGACAACAGCUGGAAACGGCUGCUAAUACCGCAUAAGCCCUUAGCACUGCAUGGUGCAUAGGGAAAAGGAGCAAUCCGGUACAGGAUGGACCCGCGUCUGAUUAGCCAGUUGGCAGGGUAACGGCCUACCAAAGCGACGAUCAGUAGCCGAUCUGAGAGGAUGUACGGCCACAUUGGGACUGAGACACGGCCCAGACUCCUACGGGAGGCAGCAGUGGGGAAUAUUGCACAAUGGAGGAAACUCUGAUGCAGCGACGCCGCGUGAGUGAAGAAGUAUUUCGGGAUGUAAAGCUCUAUCAGCAGGAAAGAAAAUGACGGUACCUGACUAAGAAGCACCGGCUAAAUACGUG
rnacentral:rRNA from 1 species